UGGUGCGCGACGGGUCCUCACGUACUCACUUUGUUUUAUUGUUACAUUUAGUGUUGGAGUUAUGUUUCGUUUGUUGUUAUUAAAUAACUCAAUUACACUCAGUUUGAUUCUACUGCGCCUGACUUCCCUGCCACCUAUGCACAUGACUCUGACAAGGAGUGCGACAUGAGUCCACGUGAAGUGAGCAUGGAGAGAGAUCCCAUCCAAACUUGCUGGUGCACUGGUAGGAAAAUGGACAAAACGUAAAGGACAGUGGUGGCUCAGGCCCUGCACAUCUGCUAACUGACACAGAUAAGAGGAUGUACUUUCUAUAAAAGGAGAGAGCCAACUCUUGUUCGUUGGACUUUCAGCAUUGAACUAAUUGAAUGAAGUUAAUUGCUCAAUUGUUGCACAUCUUA